rnacentral:misc_RNA from 1 species
AUAAUAAUAAUAAUAAUAAUAGUGUCUGAAUAGUACAAUUGAUAUGAUCAACCAACUGUUUUGUCUGUUCUUAGCAUGGGAAAUUGUUUACUUUUUCUUCACAUUUGAAUUCUUGAUUAUCAAACUCAUAGGUGAUAACUUUGGGAUUGUGUAAUCAAUCUUCCUGAAGUAUACUUUGUUCAAGCUGUAAAUUUCUCCAUUAACUACUUGUUCAAAAUGUCAAUCUUUGUAUCCUUGACUGACAGCCGUUGGAGUUUCGGACAUUAACUGUUGUUCAGGAUCACCAAGUAGGUAAAGUAGAUAAUGGUGGAAUAAAGCACUGUAGAUGUUGAAGAUGGGGUUCAUCUAAUGAGGGAUAAUCUACUUACUCUAUUUAUUUUAAAGUGCUAUCUCCUCUUCUUUUGAUCAAAUUCAUUGUUGCAUGUUUUAGUCUAUCAUGAAAUAAAAAUAAAAUAAAAUUAUUUUCGUUAUCACAUUGUUUUUUCAA